rnacentral:rRNA from 1 species
AUUCCCCUAGUACGGCGAGUGAAGCGGGAUGAGCUCAAAUUUAAAAUCUGGCGGCCUCACGUAGUCCGAAGUUGUAGUCUAGAGAAUCGUUUUCCGCGUUGGCCUGUGUACAAGUCCCUUGGAACAGGGCGUCAUAGAGGGUGAGAAUCCCGUCCUUGACACAGACUACCAAUGCUUUGUGAUGCGAUCUCGAAGAGUCGAGUUGUUUGGGAAUGCAGCUCAAAAUGGGUGGUAAAUUCCAUCUAAAGCUAAAUAUUGGCGAGAGACCGAUAGCGAACAAGUACCGUGAGGGAAAGAUGAAAAGCACUUUGGAAAGAGAGUUAAACAGUACGUGAAAUUGUUAAAAGGGAAACGAUUGAAGUCAGUCAUGCUUUCCGAGACUCAGCCGAUUCUGUCGGUGUACUUCUCGGUUGGCAGGCCAGCAUCAGUUUCGAUCUGUGGAAAAGGUUGGAGGGAACGUGGCAUCCUCGGAUGUGUUAUAGCCCUUCUUCGAAUACAUAGAGCGGGACUGAGGAACGCAGCGCGCCUUUUAUUAGGUUGGCCCUCGGGUACAUACGCGCUUAGGAUGCUGGCAUAAUGGCWUUAAACGACCCGCUA